rnacentral:rRNA from 1 species
UUUAAGGUCUAACCUGCCCAAUGAGGAUUUAAAUGGCCGCAGUAUUUUGACUGUGCAAAGGUAGCAUAAUUAUUAGUUUUUUAAUUGAAAGCUUGUAUGAAGGGUUGGACGAGAUAAAAUCUGUCUUUAUUUAAAUUAAAAUAUAAUUUAACUUUUAAGUAAGAAGGCUUAAAUAUUUAUAAAAGACGAGAAGACCCUAUAGAUCUUUAUUUGAUUAAAAUUUUAAUAAUUUAGGAUUAUUUUAAUUUAAAGUUUUAAUUAAAUUUUAUUGGGGUAAUAUAAAGAUUAAAUAAAUUCUUUUUAUUUAUAACAUUGAUUUAUGAAUAUAUGAUCCAUUAAUAUUGAUUAUAAGAUUAAGUUACCUUAGGGAUAACAGCGUAAUUUUUUUGGAGAGCUCAUAUCGAUAAAAAAGUUUGCGACCUCGAUGUUGGAUUAAAAAUUAGCUUGGGUGCAGAAGCUCAAGAUUUUGGUCUGUUCGACCAUUAAAUUUUUACAUGAUCUGAGUUCAGACCGGCGUGAGCCAGGUCGGUUUCUAUCUUUAUUAAGAUAAAAUGUUUUAGUACGAAAGGACCAGGCGUUUAAUAUAAUUAUAUUUAUUUUUU